UUGGCGAGUCCAAGGAGGAGAGACUCGCCGGUGCACCGGUUCCAGAUUUACGUUCGACCCGUGGAAGACACGGGAAAUGUGCUCGUGUGUGACCUAGAUCGCUAACGAGACGUUUCGUUGAUUAAAUAAUGGGAGCCCAUUGCGGAUUCGUGAGCGGAUAAGAUGGUCGAAAGUUGCUCUGAAUCGAGGCGACCAUUUUGCUCGAUCACGACCAUCCUUCGACCUCGUCGAACAGGAAAGUUGUGCACUUUUUUUUUUUAAAUAUCGUAGAGGUCAUUGCAGGGUGAAGAGGAACGAUGAUGCCGAUGAUUUCCGAGAUAUAACUUUCUUUAGAAAGUGUCUUCCAUAUUAUCUUUUAAGAAAGGUGAAAAUUCAGGAAUUAAUGAAAGGGGGAUAGAGGAUGUUUUUUUGCUGUAAAAUUUUAUGAUUAAUCUCUGAUCAUUCUGAUAUUUUUGCUAUAAAUUUUAUCAAAUAUCAGGUGCUAUGUUUGACAUAUGUAACUUAUGCCAUAAUUUUUCCUUCAAUUCAGAAUAUUGAUUGAUGAUAUGUAAUCAAUCAAAUUCAAACUUAAAUGUAUUAAGAUGAUUGAAACGCAAUUAUGAAUUUAUAAGUACGAAUACGAACAUAUGUGCAUGAAAAUAAUAUAGAGAAGAAAGUACAUAUUAGAAGAGGAAUUAGAAAGUGAAUGAAAAUCAUUAACUUUAACGUGAAAAAUUAUCGUUCAUGGAUAAAGAUUCGAUUUCAAAAUUCGAUUUCAGGCUAUCCAAUUACUCGAUAUAAUGUCAUAAUUGAAGAAACGUGAAACUAAAUGAUACUCGAUAAAGACACAAGAAAUAUCGUUGUAAUAGGUGCGUUAGAUUAGUCAUGUCUUUCGAAUUACAACGUGAAAGGAAACGAACCAAUGGUAGAUAUCAUUCAGUCGCGUGUUUAUAUUUAACGGUACAGGUAAUUACGAUCAAUACAAUCACGACACCUUAUACUUGUAUGUUUAACGGUAUAUGUAAUUACGCGCAACAGAAAUAGUGCAUUCCUAUUGUCACAGAAAAUAUAAUAAUAUCGAACUUAUAUAACUUGAAUCUCUAUAAUUCAAAAAUUUUUAUAAGACUCUAAAAUUUUCUUUAUUCGUAUUGUCAUACAUUAUAUCAUAUAUUUAUAGACUCGUAACAAAUAUGGACCUAUAAAAUUUGUGAAAUAGAUAGCUAUCAGCUGAUAGGAUCAGAUAUAUUAGAGAAUUUAUGGAAUUCGAAUCAGAUAUGAACAAAAAACGAAUAACUUCUUAUAUUUGUCACUUAUGCUUCAUAAAUUUCAAGUUUACAAUGUGUUGUUAAAUUAUUGAGAGUAAUAAACAGACAAAACUAUCUGACAAUAAUAGCCAUAAUGUUCAUAUAAAUUUUCUAGAU